rnacentral:rRNA from 1 species
UACGAAGGGGGCUAGCGUUGCUCGGAAUCACUGGGCGUAAAGCGCACGUAGGCGGAUUGUUAAGUCAGGGGUGAAAUCCUGGAGCUCAACUCCAGAACUGCCUUUGAUACUGGCGAUCUCGAGUCCGGGAGAGGUGAGUGGAACUGGCGAGUGUAGAGGUGAAAUUCGUAGAUAUUCGCAAGAACACCAGUGGCGAAGGCGGCUCACUGGCCCGGUACUGACGCUGAGGUGCGAAAGCGUGGGGAGCAAACAGGG